AUGGCCUCCAGUGGUCGUGUCUCCCUUGUCGAUCCACCGCGCCGCCCACGCUCAAGCAACAAGGUCGUCGUCUCUUCUCCAGCCAUGGACCACGCGGUUUUCGUCCUCUGCCACCACGCGGUCACCCUGACCGCCGUGGGCGGAAAAGGUGCCGCCAACCCGCUGUCCGUGGGCAAGGCCAUCGAGGAUCAGGUGCGCGUCUCGCCGCACCUGAUGCGGGUCACGGAGCACGACCCCGAGGACUUCUUCGUCCACUUCGACCUGUCGGCGCUGCGUGACAAUGCGGUGGCCCGCGGCUUCAUCAUGGUCGACGGCGUCCGCUUCAACAUCGCCCCUUGGCAUGAAGACGACCGCGCUGCGCUCCUAAAGCUCAGCCUGCACAUACGAGUCGUCAUCGAGAAGCUGCCGAUGCAGUUCUGGUCCCUUGAAGGCGCAGAGGAGGCCCUGGGUGACGUAUGCCUCAUCGACCGCCUCGACAGUCGCACCUACGAGCGCGGCCACACGAAGAUGUUCGCCUGCUGGGUGUGGGUCUGGGAUGUUGCACACAUCCCGACCAAACGCACUCUGUGGGUGACCAAGCGCGGCGCCGGUCGGGUGGUGGAGAUGCUUGGCUACUCUCCGUCGGAUCGCAAGGUGCCACCUCCGCCGAACGCCAAGCGCUACGACCUGCUGCUCCACGUCGACCGCAUCGAAGAUUGUGCGCCCUCCUACUCGCCGCGCUCCUCCCACUCCAGCCAGAGCGGGCUGCCCUCCUCCGACUCUGACGAUGGCGCCCCCUACCCCACACCGACACUGGCGUCUAGUACAGGGGCAUAG
rnacentral:rRNA from 1 species